UACACUCCUACGGGAGGCAGCAGUGGGGAAUUUUGGACAAUGGGCGAAAGCCUGAUCCAGCAAUGCCGCGUGAGUGAAGAAGGCCUUCGGGUUGUAAAGCUCUUUUGUCAGGGAAGAAACGGUGAAAGCUAAUAUCUUUUGCUAAUGACGGUACCUGAAGAAUAAGCACCGGCUAACUACGUGCCAGCAGCCGCGGUAAUACGUAGGGUGCAAGCGUUAAUCGGAAUUACUGGGCGUAAAGCGUGCGCAGGCGGUUUUGUAAGUCUGAUGUGAAAUCCCCGGGCUCAACCUGGGAAUUGCAUUGGAGACUGCAAGGCUAGAAUCUGGCAGAGGGGGGUAGAAUUCCACGUGUAGCAGUGAAAUGCGUAGAUAUGUGGAGGAACACCGAUGGCGAAGGCAGCCCCCUGGGUCAAGAUUGACGCUCAUGCACGAAAGCGUGGGGAGCAAACAGGAUUAGAUCCCCGGUAGUCCCAUGA
rnacentral:rRNA from 1 species